UACGUAGGCAGCGAGCGUUGUUCGGAAUUACUGGGCGUAAAGAGUGUGUAGGCGGUGCUCUAAGUUCGGUGUGAAAUCUCCUGGCUCAACUGGGAGGGUGCGCCGGAAACUGGAGUGCUUGAGCGUGGGAGAGGAAAGCGGAAUUCCUGGUGUAGCGGUGAAAUGCGUAGAUAUCGGAAGGAACGCCGGUGGCGAAAGCGGCGUGCUGGACCUCUUCUGACGCUGAGGCGCGAAAGCCAGGGGAGCGGAAACGGG
rnacentral:rRNA from 1 species